UGCGUAGGCGGCCUAGUAAGUCAGAGGUGAAAGCCCACAGCUUAACUGUGGAAUUGCCUUUGAUACUGCUAAGCUUGAAUUAGGUUGAGGUUGGCGGAAUGUGACAUGUAGCGGUGAAAUGCAUAGAUAUGUCAUAGAACACCAAUUGCGAAGGCAGCUGGCUAGACCUUAAUUGACGCUGAGGCACGAAAGCGUGGGGAGCGAACAGGAUUAGAUACCCUGGUAGUCC
rnacentral:rRNA from 1 species